rnacentral:rRNA from 1 species
GCCGGCCUGAGAGGGUGGACGGCCACACUGGGACUGAGACACGGCCCAGACUCCUACGGGAGGCNCCAGUGGGGAAUAUUGCGCAAUGGACGAAAGUCUGACGCAGCGACGCCUCGUGAGGGACGAAGGUCUUCGGAUUGUAAACCUCUUUCAGCAGGGACGAAGCGAAAGUGACGGUACCUGCAGAAGAAGCACCGGCUAACUAUGUGCCAGCAGCCGCGGUAAUACAUAGGGUGCAAGCGUUGUCCGGAUUUAUUGGGCGUAAAGAGUUCGUAGGCGGUUUUUCACGUCGGAUGUGAAAACUCAGGGCUCAACCCUGAGCCUGCAUUCGAUACGGGAAGACUCGAGGACGGCAGGGGAGACUGGAAUUCCU